rnacentral:rRNA from 1 species
UACGAAGGGGGCUAGCGUUGUUCGGAAUUACUGGGCGUAAAGCGCGCGCAGGCGGUCUUCCAAGUCAGUGGUGAAAGCCCGGAGCUCAACUCCGGAACUGCCAUUGAAACUGUUAGACUUGAGGACGAGAGAGGUGAGUGGAAUUCCCAGUGUAGAGGUGAAAUUCGUAGAUAUUGGGAAGAACACCGGUGGCGAAGGCGGCUCUCUGGACCGAGACUGACGCUGAGGCGCGAAAGCGUGGGGAGCAAACAGG